rnacentral:tRNA from 1 species
CAUUAUGAAGCUAAUUUAGCAUUAACCUUUUAAGUUAAAGAAUAGGAGUAUUAAUCUCCUCAUAAUGA